AGCGGAGGAAAAGAAACCAACAGGGAUUGCCCCAGUAACGGCGAGUGAAGCGGCAACAGCUCAAAUUUGAAAUCUGGCGCCCCCGCGGCGCCCGAGUUGUAAUUUGCAGAGGAUGCUUUUGGCGCGGCGCCUUCCGAGUUCCCUGGAACGGGACGCCAUAGAGGGUGAGAGCCCCGUCUGGUUGGACGCCUAGCCUCUGUAAAGCUCCUUCGACGAGUCGAGUAGUUUGGGAAUGCUGCUCUAAAUGGGAGGUAUAUGUCUUCUAAAGCUAAAUACCGGCCAGAGACCGAUAGCGCACAAGUAGAGUGAUCGAAAGAUGAAAAGCACUUUGAAAAGAGGGUUAAACAGUACGUGAAAUUGUUGAAAGGGAAGCGCUUGUGACCAGACUCGGGCGUGGCGGAUCGUCCGGCGUUCUCGCCGGUGCACUCCGCCUCGCCCGGGCCAGCAUCAGUUCGCCGCGGGGGAUAAAGGCGUCGGGAACGUGGCUCCCCCGGGAGUGUUAUAGCCCGUCGCGCAAUGCCCCGUGGCGGACUGAGGUUCGCGCUCCGCAAGGAUGCUGGCGUAAUGGUCACCAGUGACCCGUCUUG
rnacentral:rRNA from 1 species